rnacentral:rRNA from 1 species
AUUGAACGCUGGCGGCAGGCCUAACACAUGCAAGUCGAGCGGUAGCACAGAGAGCUUGCUCUCGGGUGACGAGUGGCGGACGGGUGAGUAAUGUCUGGGAAACUGCCCGAUGGAGGGGGAUAACUACUGGAAACGGUAGCUAAUACCGCAUAACGUCGCAAGACCAAAGUGGGGGACCUUCGGGCCUCACACCAUCGGAUGUGCCCAGAUGGGAUUAGCUAGUAGGCGGGGUAAUGGCUCACCUAGGCGACGAUCCCUAGCUGGUCUGAGAGGAUGACCAGCCACACUGGAACUGGGACACGGUCCAGACUCCUACGGGAGGCAGCAGUGGGGAAUAUUGCACAAUGGGCGCAAGCCUGAUGCAGCCAUGCCGCGCGUAUGAAGAAGGCCUUCGGGUUGUAAAGUACUUUCAGCGGGGAGGAAGGCGGUGAAAUUAAUAACUUCACCGAUUGACGUUACCCGCAGAAGAAGCACCGGCUAACUCCGUGCCAGCCGCCGCCGUAA